UGAGGAAUAUUGCGCAAUGGGGGAAACCCUGACGCAGCGACGCCGCGUGGAUGAUGAAGGCUUUCGGGUCGUAAAAUCCUGUCAGAUGGGAAGAAGUGGUUCAGGGCUAAUACCCUUGUUCUUUGACGGUACCAUCAAAGGAAGCACCGGCUAACUCCGUGCCAGCAGCCGCGGUAAUACGGAGGGUGCAAGCGUUGUUCGGAAUUACUGGGCGUAAAGCGCGCGUAGGCGGCUUAUUGUGUCAGAUGUGAAAGUCCACGGCUCAACCGUGGAAGUGCAUUUGAAACUGGUAAGCUUGAGUACUGGAGGGGAUGGUGGAAUUCCCGGUGUAGAGGUGAAAUUCGUAGAUAUCGGGAGGAAUACCGGUGGCGAAGGCGACCAUCUGGCCAGAUACUGACGCUGAGGUGCGAAAGCGUGGGGAGCAAACAGG
rnacentral:rRNA from 2 species